UACAGAGGGUGCAAGCGUUAAUCGGAAUUACUGGGCGUAAAGCGUGCGUAGUCGGUUAUUUAAGUUGGGUGUGAAAGCCCCGGGCUCAACCUGGGAAUUGCAUUCGAUACUGGAUAGCUAGAGUUCGGCAGAGGGAAGCGGAAUUUCCGGUGUAGCGGUGAAAUGCGUAGAUAUCGGAAGGAACAUCAGUGGCGAAAGCGGCUUCCUGGACCAGAACUGACGAUCAGGCACGAAAGCGUGGGGAGCAAACAGG
rnacentral:rRNA from 1 species